rnacentral:rRNA from 1 species
UACGAAGGGGGCUAGCGUUGCUCGGAAUCACUGGGCGUAAAGGGUGCGUAGGCGGGUCUUUUAAGUCAGGGGUGAAAUCCUGGAGCUCAACUCCAGAACUGCCUUUGAUACUGAGGAUCUUGAGUUCGGGAGAGGUGAGUGGAACUGCGAGUGUAGAGGUGAAAUUCGUAGAUAUUCGCAAGAACACCAGUGGCGAAGGCGGCUCACUGGCCCGAUACUGACGCUGAGGCACGAAGCGUGGG